GCCGCUCCUACAACGGCCAAAACAGCACCGUUUCUGUUCAAACCAGCUCCGCUGGGGGCGUUCUCAGCAGGAGUCAAUGCAUUCGGAGGCAGAGCCACUGAUGGACCUGAGGUGGGGGUGGGAGCUGAAGGAGCAGGAGGAGAGCUGGUAGGUGCCGAGGUUGGGACUGCAGCUGCGGCUGGGACAGUAGCGGCAGGAGCAGGAGCCGAGGUAGGUGGCGUUUGAGUCGGAGCUUGAGUGGGAGCAGGCGUUGGAGUUGCAGUCUUGGGAGCCGGUGCAGCAGAAGGUGACUUCCUCGGUGAAGAGGUUGGAGCGGCACCGGGGGCCUGAGCGAGAGCGGAACAGGCAAAGAGAGCGA
rnacentral:lncRNA from 1 species